rnacentral:rRNA from 1 species
UACGACUACAUAUCAGGCAUAUCAAUAAGCGGAGGAAAAGAAACUAACUAGGAUUCCCUCAGUAACGGCGAGUGAAGCGGGAAGAGCUCAAAUUUGAAAUCUUCAAGGUUUUACCUUGACGAAUUGUAGUUUAAAGAAGUGUUUUCUGUUGAGUGUUUCGGUAAAAGUUCUUUGGAAUAGGACAUCAUAGAGGGUGAGAAUCCCGUAUUUGACCAUUACUUUCAGCUGUGUGAUACACUUUCAAAGAGUCGGAUUAGUUUGGGAAUGCAGUCCAAAAUGGGUGGUAAAUUUCAUCUAAAGCUAAAUAUUGGCGAGAGACCGAUAGCGAACAAGUACCGUGAGGGAAAGAUGAAAAGAACUUUGAAAAGAGAGUUAAACAGUACGUGAAAUUGUCAAAAGGGAAGCGUUUGACACCAGUGUUGUUUUCUCGGAAAUCAAUUAAAAAGAGUUGGAUUUUGUAUUGUUAAGACCUUAUCAGCUUACUGUACUUUUUUCUUGCUCUUUUUAAUGCACUCUUCGUUUAACAAGUCAACAUCAAUUUCUUUUGUUGUAAAAGGGUCAUUGGAAGGUGGCUUUCACUUCGGUGAAAGUGUUUAUGGCCUUUGGCUUCUACAAUCGGAGAGAUUGAGGUCUGCAGCGUAGAUCCUUCGGGGUUAGAUACGUAGAUGCUAAGUUAUAGUUUUUUAUAGACAACUUGUUGACUAUGAUUAAUCAUGUAGCUUACUCGUUUACGCUAUUUUACCUACGCUUAGGAUGUUGAUCUCUCACAGUCGAGC